UAUCUAGCCUUCGUAUGUACUUACCUCUCACAUGAUUGCGUAUUAUUUGAUUAAAUAUGGUUAUCCAACACUGUGAUGACCCCAUUCAUUGUAUUCACACUUUCAUAAUGAGUGCGUGUG
rnacentral:ribozyme from 1 species